rnacentral:rRNA from 1 species
CAGUCGCCACGGUAAUACGUAGGUGGCAAGCGUUGUCCGGAAUUAUUGGGCGUAAAGGGCUCGCAGGCGGUUUCUUAAGUCUGAUGCGAAAGCCCCCGGCUCAACCGGGGAGGGUCAUUGGAAACUGGGAAACUUGAGUGCAGAAGAGGAGAGUGGAAUUCCACGUGUAGCGGUGAGAUGCGUAGAGAUGUGGAGGAACACCAGUGGCGAAGGCGACUCUCUGGUCUGUAACUGACGCUGAGGAGCGAAAGCGUGGGGAGCGAACAGGAUUAGAUACCCCCGUAGUCCCUGUCUCUUAUAC